GACGAACGCUGGCGGCGUGCCUAAUACAUGCAAGUCGAACGCAGUGGGGGCGGGUGAGUAACACGUGGGUAACCUCCCAUCAGAGGGGAUAACACUUGGCAACAGGUGCUAAACCGAUACUGAUGGAUGGACCCGCGGUGCAUUAGCUAGUUGGUGGGGUAAAGGCUCACCAAGGCCAAGAUGCAUAGCUGACCGGAGAGGGUGAUCGGCCACACUGGGACUGAGACACGGCCCAGACUCCUACGGGAGGCAGCAGUAGGGAAUCUUCGACAAUGGACGAAAGUCUGACCGAGCAACGCCGCGUGAGUGAAGAAGGUUUUCGGAUCGUAAAACUCUGUUGUUAGAGAAGCGGUAUCUAAACAAAAAGCCACGGCUAACUACGUGCCAGCAGCCGCGGUAAUAC
rnacentral:rRNA from 1 species